UACGUAGGGUGCAAGCGUUAAUCGGAAUUACUGGGCGUAAAGCGUGCGCAGGCGGUUUUGUAAGUCUGUCGUGAAAUCCCCGGGCUCAACCUGGGAAUUGCGAUGGAGACUGCAAGGCUAGAAUCUGGCAGAGGGGGGUAGAAUUCCACGUGUAGCAGUGAAAUGCGUAGAGAUGCGGAGGAACACCGAUGGCGAAGGCAGCCCCCUGGGCUAGCACUGACGCUCAGGCACGAAAGCGUGGGGAGCAAACA
rnacentral:rRNA from 1 species